UGAUUUUCUUCUUUUAGAACUUUAUUUUUAUUGAUUAGUUUUUUAUGUUCUUCCAUGAGUUCUAAAAAUGCAUCAUGUAAUUCAUCAACAGUAAAAUCACAUUCAAGUUCAGAAUCUACCUCAUCGUCAUUGGCCAUAUGACAUAUUUGGACCGUCUCUUGAUGAUCUUCCUCUUCCAAACUUGACUCCUCACUUUCACUCCAUUCAGCCAUGAAGUUCUUCUUUUUCAGUUUUCUUGCCAUCCACUUUAAUUCCGGGCAAUGUAUCUUAUAAUGCCCGGGCUUGUUACACUCA
rnacentral:lncRNA from 1 species